rnacentral:lncRNA from 1 species
AUAACAGAGCUAAGGCUUUUGUAGAACAGUCAAACCUUGAAGAACACGGGUUUGAACUGCGAGAGUCCACUUAUAUGAGGGUUUUUGAAAAUAAAAGUUACCCCGAGUGUGCCUGCCUCUCCUGCCUUCCCUUCCACGUCCUCCACCUCUUCUGCCUCUGCCACCCCUGAGACAGCAAGACCAACCCCCGGCUUCUCCUCCUCAGUCUACUCAACCUGACGAUCACAAGGAUGAAGACCUUUAUGACUCACCUUUAUGAUUCACUUCCAACAUAGUAAAUAUGUUUUCUCUUCCUUA